GGAGGAGUAGCGAAGAGGCUAAACGCGGCGGACUGUAAAUCCGCUCCUUUGGGUUCAUAGGUUCGAAUCCUAUCUCCUCCA
rnacentral:tRNA from 1 species